AUGUCCGCCCCCGCGGCGAAGCAGGGCGCGGAGGAGGAGGCCGAGCGCCUCCUCGCGGCCGCCAAGCUGAACCCCAACGACGGCGGGCACUUCCGCUCCCUCGGCCACCACUACGCCCGCGCCGGCGACGCGCAGCGCGCGGCCAGGUGCUACCAGCGGGCCGUGGCCCUCGACCCCGACGACGCCGAGGCCGGGGAGGCGCUCUGCGAUUUGCUUGACGCGGAGGGGAAGGAGAGCCUGGAGCUCGCCGUGUGCAAGGAGGCUGCCGGCAAGUCGCCGCGCGCAUUUUGGGCCUUCCGGAGACUCGGCUACUUGCAGGUUCAUCAAAAGAAGUGGUCAGAUGCUAUACAGAGCCUUCAACACUCAAUACGAGGUUACCCAACAUGUGCGGAUUUAUGGGAGGCACUUGGUCUGGCUUACCACCGUUUGGGCAUGUUUACUGCUGCAGUAAAGUCAUAUGGGCGAGCUAUUGAACUUGAUAGUUCCAGGGUCUUUGCUUUGAUUGAAAGUGGAAACAUCCAGCUAAUGCUUGGCUAUUUCAGAAAGGGAGUCGAACAGUUCCGUUCUGCCGUGGAGAUGGCUCCUCAUAAUCAUUCUGCAUACUUUGGACUUGCCUCGGCAUUGCUUGCGUGGUCAAAGCAUUGUGUAACUAUUGGGGCCUUUACCUGGGCAGCUAAUCUGCUGAAGGAAGCAUCAGAAACUGCUAAAGUUUGCACUUCCUUGACUGGAAACCUUUCCUGUGUUUGGAAAUUGCAUGCAGAUACUCAGCUCGCACUUGCAAGGUGUUCUCCGUGGGAGGAUAGGCAUAUUAAGAGGGGCAUGGAUGAACAAAAUUUCAAAGCUUCCGUCCUUCAGUGGAGAAAUACAUGUUUGUCAGCUGCAAAUAGUGCAAAACUCUCAUAUCAACGAGCUUUGCGCCUCACUCCUUGGGAAGCUAAUAUUCACAUUGAUACUGCUAUUUGUCUUGAUCUCAUUUGUACCAUGGAGGAAAAUAACUCUGUAGACCCCAUUGUUUGGGAGCUUCCAGAAAAAAUGUCAUUGGGUGGUUUGAUGCUGGAACCAGUUAAUAAGGAUUUCUGGGUUACAUUGGGUUCAGUCUCAAGUAAUCAGGCUUUAAAGCAGCAUUCUCUUAUCAGGGCACUGCAGUUGGAUACGUCUCUCUCUGAAGCUUGGGCAUACCUUGGAAAGAUUUACAGACAAUCAGGUCACAAGCAAUUGGCCAGACAAGCAUUUGAUCGAGCUCGAAGCAUUGAUCCAUCAUUGGCCUUGCCAUGGGCUGGAAUGUCGGCAGAAAACAAUCACCAAUCUAGGGCUGGUGCAGUAAAUGAGUCUUAUGAAAGCUGCUUGAGAGCUGUGCAGAUACUACCUCUGCCAGAGUUCCAGAUUGGCCUUGGAACAAUUGCAGCUUGUUCUGGUGAACUUCUGUCACCUCAGGUAUUGAUGGCUGUAAGACAGGCUGUUCAGCGAGCGCCUCAUUACCCAGAAUCACACAAUAUAAAUGGCCUGGUCUCUGAAGUGCGAUCAGAUUUUCAAUCUGCAAUCACGUCUUACCAACAUGCGAAAUUUGCUUUAGACAUGGUGCGCGGGUCCAAGUUAGACAAUAGAUAUCCUUUUGUUGAUGUUUCAGUGAAUCUUGCCCGAUCACUAUGUAAGGCUGGUCUUGCAACUGAUGCAGUGUGCGAGUGCGAAGAGUUGAAAACACAAGGACUGCUGAACGUUGAUGGAUUGCAAGUAUAUGCUCUUGCACUGUGGAAACUUGGACGGCAUGAUGAAGCUCUUUCCAUAUCACAAAACUUGGCUGAAAACUUAUCUAAUAUGAAGCAGGAGAGUGCAACUGGGGCAUUGGGAUUCAUAUGCACCUUAGCAUACAACAUAGCUGGGAAGGAUUCUGCAGCUUCGGUCAUUCAUACACUCCCUGGUCAACCCAGUUAUAACAGAGAGUUGAAAUUCAUCAUCUCUGCAUUAGAUGCUUUGCAGCCAAGCAAGCGUUUUCAGUUACCUCACUUGAGUACGCCUCCUAGACUUACAUCCUAUGACGUGAUGAGUGAAGUCCACUCAAAUAUUGCUCUGGGGAAGGCAUUUGGUGGGGAAUCAAACAACUGUUUAGGGGUCGAGGGUGGUUUGUCUUACCUGAAAAAGGUUCUACACAUGUAUCCUGACUGCAGUUUAGUAAGAAACCAUCUUGGAUCUCUGCUGCUGUCGAGCGGAGAUUGGACUGCUUCUCACAAAGCAGUAAGGGUUACUCCGUUGUCCCAUGGGCACACAUCUAAUAGGGGUCUAAGGUCUCCGCAUCAAAUUCAAGCUUGUGCAACAAUGUCUUGCUAUGCUACCUGCACCUCUUAUCCAAAGUUCUCAUUCCCAACAUGUGAAGACCAGUACCUAAGUCAAUACAAUGGAAUACGCAACCUGCAAAGGUUGGUCCAUCAAGAACCAUGGAACCAAGAUGCACGCUACUUGCUUGUGCUUGCUAUUUUCCAAAAAGCACGUGAAGAGAAGUACCCCAAACAUAUUUGUGCCACUUUGAAGAGGCUGGUUUUACAAAUUAUGUCCAGCAGUAGCAAUUCACAAGAGCAUAAACUCAUCCUUUAUGAGAAGUACUUGCUACUUCUUUUGUCUUCAGAGGUUAGUUUGCAAUCUGAUGACUAUGAAAACGGCAUUGCUCAAGUUACAGAUGCUCUAAGAGUUGCUCCUCCGAGUGUGGAUACUUUCUUUGCACACUUGCAACUGUGUCGGGCUUAUGUGGUGCAAGGCGAUCUUUCGAACUCCAGGAAGGAAUACAUGAAAUGCUUGCAGAACCGCACGAAUACUGAGGUUGGCUGGGUAAUGCUCAAGCAACUUGAAUCUUUAUGUUCAGUGAACCGUGGCUCUGAUGAAAUAGAGAUAAAUCUGAAAGAAUGCAUUGAAAGGAAUGGUAGCAACCCAUCAAAAUGGCCAUCUCUUUUUAAUCUAGCAUGUGCUCAGUGUUUUAUGCGGGACGAGGACUUUGCAAGUGCUGAAAAAGCUCUUGCACAGGCAUGUGCGGAAAAGGAUGCUGAUAGCUGCAUCUUAUUCCUCAAUGGAGCUAUGCAUAUGGAGAUUGCCCGGAGGUAUGCGGCUCCUCAGUAUAUAACCCGCGCAGCUUCGAGCCUCAGAAAGGCACAGCAGAAGUCUCAAGCUGCCGUACCCAUCAUAUCACUCCUACUGGCCCAAGCAGAAGGCAGCCUCGGCUCCAAAGCCAAGUGGGAGAAGAACCUUCGCCUCGAGUGGUUCUCUUGGCCCCCAGAAUUGCGGCCUGCUGAGCUCUAUUUCCAAAUGCAUCUUCUGGCGAGCCAGUCGACUGCGGUGGCGACAGGUCCUCAGCAGAAGAAACUGCAACUGCUGGAAACGAUGCAGAGUCCCGGGGCGUGGCUUCUCAGGGCGAUACACCAGAACCCGUCAUGCUCACGGUACUGGAAGGCUUUGCUGCAGCUUGUGUGCGUGUAG
rnacentral:rRNA from 1 species